CGUGUAGGCGGUCCGGUAAGUCGGCUGUGAAAGUCCAGGGCUCAACCCUGGGAUGCCGGUCGAUACUGCCGGACUAGAGUUCGGAAGAGGCGAGCGGAAUUCCCGGUGUAGCGGUGAAAUGCGCAGAUAUCGGGAGGAACACCAAUGGCGAAGGCAGCUCGCUGGGACGUUACUGACGCUGAGACGCGAAAGCGUGGGGAGCAAACA
rnacentral:rRNA from 1 species